rnacentral:rRNA from 1 species
UACGUAGGGGGCAAGCGUUGUCCGGAUUUAUUGGGCGUAAAGCGCGUGUAGGCGGCCAGAUAGGUCUGCUGUGAAAACUCGAGGCUCAACCUCGAGCUGUCGGCGGAAACCAUCCGGCUAGAGUCCGGAAGAGGAGAGUGGAAUUCCUGGUGUAGCGGUGAAAUGCGCAGAUAUCAGGAAGAACACCAAUGGCGAAAGCAGCUCUCUGGGACGGUACUGACGCUGAGACGCGAAAGCGUGGGGGAGCGAACAGG